rnacentral:rRNA from 1 species
UACGGAGGGUGCAAACGUUGCUCGGAAUCAUUGGGCGUAAAGCGCACGUGGGCGGCCUGUUAAGUCGGGUGUGAAAGCCCUGGGCUCAACCCAGGAAGUGCACUCGAAACUGGCGGGCUUGAAUAUGGAAGAGGGUCGCGGAAUUCCCGGUGUAGAGGUGAAAUGCGUAGAUAUCGGAAGGAACACCUGUGGCGAAAGCGGCUCACUGGACCAUCACUGACACUGAGGCACGAAAGCUAGGGGAGCAAACAGG